rnacentral:rRNA from 1 species
GAUGAACGCUGGCGGCGUGCCCAAUACAUGCAAGUCGAGCGAACGGACGAGAAGCUUGCUUCUCUGAUGUUAGCGGCGGACGGGUGAGUAACACGUGGAUAACCUACCUAUAAGACUGGGAUAACUUCGGGAAACCGGAGCUAAUACCGGAUAAUAUUUUGAACCGCAUGGUUCAAAAGUGAAAGACGGUCUUGCUGUCACUUAUAGAUGGAUCCGCGCUGCAUUAGCUAGUUGGUAAGGUAACGGCUUACCAAGGCAACGAUGCAUAGCCGACCUGAGAGGGUGAUCGGCCACACUGGAACUGAGACACGGUCCAGACUCCUACGGGAGGCAGCAGUAGGGAAUCUUCCGCAAUGGGCGAAAGCCUGACGGAGCAACGCCGCGUGAGUGAUGAAGGUCUUCGGAUCGUAAAGCUCUGUUAUUAGGGAAGAACAUAUGUGUAAGUAACUGUGCACAUCUUGACGGUACCUAAUCAGAAAGCCACGGCUAACUACGUG